rnacentral:rRNA from 1 species
CCUACGGGAGGCAGCAGUAGGGAAUUUUCCGCAAUGGGCGAAAGCCUGACGGAGCAAUACCGCGUGAGGGAUGACGGCCUGUGGGUUGUAAACCUCUUUUCUCAAGGAAGAAGCUCUGACGGUACUUGAGGAAUAAGCAUCGGCUAACUCUGUGCCAGCAGCCGCGGUAAU